rnacentral:rRNA from 1 species
UGCGCAGGCGGCCUGCUAAGUCGGAUGUGAAAGCCCCGGGCUUAACCUGGGAAUUGCAUUCGAUACUGGCAGGCUAGAGUCUGGUAGAGGUAAGCGGAAUUCCGGGUGUAGCGGUGAAAUGCGUAGAUAUCCGGAGGAACAUCAGUGGCGAAGGCGGCUUACUGGACCAAGACUGACCCUCAGGCACGAAAGCGUGGGUAGCAAACA